rnacentral:rRNA from 1 species
GACGAACGCUGGCGGCGUGCUUAACACAUGCGAGUCGAACGGAAAGGCCUCUUUCGGGGGGUACUCGAGUGGCGAACGGGUGAGUAACACGUGAGUAACCUGCCCUUGACUUUGGGAUAACUUCAGGAAACUGGGGCUAAUACCGGAUAGGAGCUCCUGCUGCAUGGUGGGGGUUGGAAAGUUUCGGCGGUUGGGGAUGGACUCGCGGCUUAUCAGCUUGUUGGUGGGGUAGUGGCUUACCAAGGCUUUGACGGGUAGCCGGCCUGAGAGGGUGACCGGCCACAUUGGGACUGAGAUACGGCCCAGACUCCUACGUGAGUCAGCAGUGGGGAAUAUUGCACAAUGGGUGGAAGCCUGAUGCAGCAACGCCGUGUGCGGGAUGACGGCCUUCGGGUUGUAAACCGCUUUCGCUCAUGACGAAGCUUUGUGUGACGGUAGUGGGUAAAGAAGCACCGGCUAACUACGUG